GGGGGACCAUCCUCCAAGGCUAAAUACUCCUGACUGACCGAUAGUGAACCAGUACCGUGAGGGAAAGGCGAAAAGAACCCCUGUGAGGGGAGUGAAAUAGAACCUGAAACCGUGUACGUACAAGCAGUAGGAGCACCUUCGUGGUGUGACUGCGUACCUUUUGUAUAAUGGGUCAGCGACUUAUAUUCAGUGGCAAGGUUAACCGUAUAGGGGAGCCGUAGCGAAAGCGAGUCUUAACUGGGCGCUCAGUCUCUGGAUAUAGACCCGAAACCGGGUGAUCUAGCCAUGGGCAGGUUGAAGGUUGAGUAACAUCAACUGGAGGACCGAACCGACUAAUGUUGAAAAAUUAGCGGAUGACUUGUGGCUAGGGGUGAAAGGCCAAUCAAACUCGGAGAUAGCUGGUUCUCCCCGAAAGCUAUUUAGGUAGCGCCUCGGACGAAUACUACUGGGGGUAGAGCACUGUUAAGGCUAGGGGGUCAUCCCGACUUACCAACCCUUUGCAAACUCCGAAUACCAGUAAGUACUAUCCGGGAGACACACGGCGGGUGCUAACGUCCGUCGUGGAGAGGGAAACAACCCAGACCGCCAGCUAAGGUCCCAAAGUAUUGCUAAGUGGGAAACGAUGUGGGAAGGCUCAGACAGCUAGGAUGUUGGCUUAGAAGCAGCCAUCAUUUAAAGAAAGCGUAAUAGCUCACUAGUCGAGUCGGCCUGCGCGGAAGAUGUAACGGGGCUAAGCAAUACACCGAAGCUGCGGCAAUGUCUUUUAGACAUUGGGUAGGGGAGCGUUCUGUAAGCCGUUGAAGGUGAAUCGUAAGGUUUGCUGGAGGUAUCAGAAGUGCGAAUGCUGACAUGAGUAACGACAAAGGGGGUGAAAAACCUCCUCGCCGGAAGACCAAGGGUUCCUGUCCAACGUUAAUCGGGGCAGGGUGAGUCGACCCCUAAGGUGAGGCCGAAAGGCGUAAUCGAUGGGAAACGGGUUAAUAUUCCCGUACUUCUGACUAUUGCGAUGGGGGGACGGAGAAGGCUAGGUGGGCCAGGCGACGGUUGUCCUGGUUCAAGUGCGUAGGCUUGAGAGUUAGGUAAAUCCGGCUCUCUCUAAGGCUGAGACACGACGUCGAGCUACUACGGUAGUGAAGUCAUUGAUGCCAUGCUUCCAGGAAAAGCCUCUAAGCUUCAGAUAGUCAGGAAUCGUACCCCAAACCGACACAGGUGGUCGGGUAGAGAAUACCAAGGCGCUUGAGAGAACUCGGGUGAAGGAACUAGGCAAAAUGGUACCGUAACUUCGGGAGAAGGUACGCUCUUGAUGGUGAAGUCCCUCGCGGAUGGAGCUGACGAGAGUCGCAGAUACCAGGUGGCUGCAACUGUUUAUUAAAAACACAGCACUGUGCAAAAUCGCAAGAUGACGUAUACGGUGUGACGCCUGCCCGGUGCCGGAAGGUUAAUUGAUGGGGUUAGCGCAAGCGAAGCUCUUGAUCGAAGCCCCGGUAAACGGCGGCCGUAACUAUAACGGUCCUAAGGUAGCGAAAUUCCUUGUCGGGUAAGUUCCGACCUGCACGAAUGGCGUAAUGAUGGCCACGCUGUCUCCACCCGAGACUCAGUGAAAUUGAAAUCGCUGUGAAGAUGCAGUGUACCCGCGGCUAGACGGAAAGACCCCGUGAACCUUUACUACAGCUUGGCACUGAACAUUGAACCUACAUGUGUAGGAUAGGUGGGAGGCUAUGAAGACGUGACGCCAGUUGCGUUGGAGCCGUCCUUGAAAUACCACCCUUGUAUGUUUGAUGUUCUAACUUAGACCCAUUAUCUGGGUUGAGGACAGUGCCUGGUGGGUAGUUUGACUGGGGCGGUCUCCUCCCAAAGAGUAACGGAGGAGCACGAAGGUGGGCUAAUCACGGUUGGACAUCGUGAGGUUAGUGCAAUGGCAUAAGCCCGCUUAACUGCGAGAAUGACGGUUCGAGCAGGUGCGAAAGCAGGUCAUAGUGAUCCGGUGGUUCUGUAUGGAAGGGCCAUCGCUCAACGGAUAAAAGGUACUCCGGGGAUAACAGGCUGAUACCGCCCAAGAGUUCAUAUCGACGGCGGUGUUUGGCACCUCGAUGUCGGCUCAUCACAUCCUGGGGCUGAAGUCGGUCCCAAGGGUAUGGCUGUUCGCCAUUUAAAGUGGUACGCGAGCUGGGUUUAGAACGUCGUGAGACAGUUCGGUCCCUAUCUGCCGUGGGCGUUGGAAGAUUGAAGGGGGCUGCUCCUAGUACGAGAGGACCGGAGUGGACGAACCUCUGGUGUUCGGGUUGUGUCGCCAGACGCAUUGCCCGGUAGCUAAGUUCGGAAUUGAUAAGCGCUGAAAGCAUCUAAGCGCGAAGCGAGCCCUGAGAUGAGUCUUCCCUGACAGUUUAACUGUCCUAAAGGGUUGUUCGAGACUAGAACGUUGAUAGGCAGGGUGUGUAAGCGUUGUGAGGCGUUGAGCUAACCUGUACUAAUUGCCCGUGAGGCUUAACCAUACAACACCCAAGGGGUUUUGUA
rnacentral:rRNA from 1 species